AUUGAACGCUGGCGGCAGGCCUAACACAUGCAAGUCGAACGGUAGCACAGAGAGCUUGCUCUCGGGUGACGAGUGGCGGACGGGUGAGUAACGUCUGGGAAACUGCCCGAUGGAGGGGGAUAACUACUGGAAACGGUAGCUAAUACCGCAUAACGUCGCAAGACCAAAGUGGGGGACCUUCGGGCCUCACACCAUCGGAUGUGCCCAGAUGGGAUUAGCUAGUAGGUGGGGUAAUGGCUCACCUAGGCGACGAUCCCUAGCUGGUCUGAGAGGAUGACCAGCCACACUGGAACUGAGACACGGUCCAGACUCCUACGGGAGGCAGCAGUGGGGAAUAUUGCACAAUGGGCGCAAGCCUAAUGCAGCCAUGCCGCGUGUAUGAAGAAGGCCUUCGGGUUGUAAAGUACUUUCAGCGGGGAGGAAGGCGGUGAAGUUAAUAACUUCACCGAUUGACGUUACCCGCAGAAGAGGCACCGGCUAACUCCGUGCCAGCAGCCGCCGUAA
rnacentral:rRNA from 1 species